rnacentral:rRNA from 2 species
AUAACGACUCUCGGCAACGGAUAUCUCGGCUCACGCAUCGAUGAAGAACGUAGCAAAAUGCGAUACUUGGUGUGAAUUGCAGAAUCCCGUGAACCAUCGAGUUUUUGAACGCAAGUUGCGCCCGAGGCCAUCUGGUUGAGGGCACGUCUGCCUGGGCGUCACGC